UACGUAGGGUGCAAGCGUUGUCCGGAAUUAUUGGGCGUAAAGAGCUCGUAGGCGGUUUGGCACGUCGGAUGUGAAAACUCGAGGCUUAACCUCGGGCCUGCAUUCGAUACGGGCUGACUAGAGUUCGGUAGGGGAGACUGGAAUUCCUGGUGUAGCGGUGAAAUGCGCAGAUAUCAGGAGGAACACCGGUGGCGAAGGCGGGUCUCUGGGCCGAUACUGACGCUGAGGAGCGAAGGCGUGGGGAGCGAACAGG
rnacentral:rRNA from 1 species